rnacentral:rRNA from 1 species
UGGACAGAAAGACCCUAUGAAGCUUUACUGUUCCCUGGGAUUGGGUUUGGGCCUUUCUUGCGCAGCUUAGGUGGGAGGCAGAGAAGAUUUCCUUCCGGGGAAAUUAGAGCCACCAAUGAGACACCACCCUAGAAAGGCUAGAAUUCUAACUUUGUACCUAGCAGAAGGUCAGAGGACAUUCCCAGGUAGACAGUUUCUAUGGGGCGUAGGCCUCCUAAAAAGUAACGGAGGCGUGCAAAGGUUUCCUCAGGCUGGACGGAAAUCAGCCUUUGAGUGUAAAGGCAGAAGGAAGCUUGACUGCAAGACUUACACGUCGAGCAGGGACGAAAGUCGGCCUUAGUGAUCCGACGGUGCCGAGUGGAAGGGCCGUCGCUCAACGGAUAAAAGUUACUCUAGGGAUAA